UGCAAUUAGAAAUCGGCGCCGCCAAGC
rnacentral:sRNA from 1 species